GGGGUGCUAGCUCAUUUGGUAGAGCGCUUCGAUGGCAUCGAAGAGGUGAGGAGUUCGAAUCUCCUGCACUCCACCA
rnacentral:tRNA from 1 species